rnacentral:piRNA from 1 species
UGUACCAAUAAAAUCUUUGAUCCAGC